CUGAAAGGAGUUUUCAACACACCCUUCCUGCCCACUUUGUGUGCAGGGAAGACAGUCCCAACCCAAGAAAAUCCCCAGAAGCCAAUGUCUUUGGAUCAAAGAAGUCUGUAAAGCAAAGAUACUGCCAUUAACUUGGAUCAGGAAAGUGAAUCGUCAAGAGGAAAUGCUAUAAUGACCAUCAUGAUUCCAGAUGGACUAAAAGGAUGACUGUAAUAGAAGAUGUCCCCAGAAAUCAGAUACUACAGCAUGAGACUCUGAAUGAGCCUUUGAAUAUUACAAACUGAAUUAUGGAGAUUGGGUCUUCCAUCUGCUUUGGUCUUCCUCAUACACACAUAUUUUGAGGCAAAAAAAGGGACCAGGCAUCUUGAGCUGAAAAGGAAGCUUAGAGAUCCUCUAUUCCAGAGCUGCUUAACCUUUUUUGUGACUUUGGCAAUCAGUCUGAUGAAGCCUUUGGACCUGACUUCAGGAGAGU
rnacentral:lncRNA from 1 species